UAUCGAUGAUCUUAUCUUCUCUUCUACAGUCGGCUGUUGCUGUAUCGAUUUUAUCUUCUUCUCUACUCACCAAUCCUCAAAAGAACAACAACCUGAAAACAAAGACAAACAGAGAAAUACAGGAAGAGAGACGUGAAGGAUUGACGACGAAAACGAGCCUGGGUUUUAACCUUUCAACGAUUCCAAGGUCUUUCUUUUUUUUGGAGAUUCUGAAGGAAAAGGAUUUGGUUAACAAGAAAUAAACCAGAUUCUGGAAACAGUGUGUUAUUCAAUUUCCCAACUGCAUUGGAUUCAGUGAUGGCAGCAAAACCAGAAGAAACAGAAAUAAGGAGACAUUUACGUCAUCAGAAUGGAGAAGGCCAAGCUUCUGGUCCUAUUUCUGAUAUGGAGAAAGAUCGACAAAUUAGAUCAAGAAGGUGGAGACAACGUUCUAUGCAAACGAUUAUUUGUAUUGUUCAGUUGCUGCUUUUCUUGGUCUGUAUUGAGAUUGGUCAUUGUCUAGAUAUUAGUAACAGUGUGCAAUCGGAAUUUGAAAGUGCUUUGAACUUGGAUCAUAAAGGAUGGUGGAUGUGGCUGCUGCUGGUGCGGGGAACGCAAGUAAGGAUCCAAAUUUGAUCCCACCACAUCCUCCAACCAUUCCACCCAAUGUGAAGCCAGGAGUCCUGACUUCUCCCAAGUAUUCUAUUACGAGUAGGAAACAAUUGCUUGCAAACCACUUCAAACUCACUGUGAAAGCUCCAGAUUCUGUAUUCUACCAAUAUUCUGUUCAUAUUACUUCUGAAAACAAGAAGGCCGCUCAAGGCAAGGGAAUUGGCAGAAAACUUGUUGACAGGCUCUAUCAAACAUAUUCUUCUAAACUUGCUGAUAACAAGUUUGUGUAUGAUAAAGAGAAAGCUCAAUAUACAAUUGGUCCUCUGCCGCAGAACAAGCUUGACUUUACAGUUCCCCUGGAGGAGGCAUUUGCAAAGAGAGUGAAAAAGUGGAGCCUAACAAUACGUACUUAAAGAAAAAUGUAAGCCAUGCAUUACCAGUAUAAUGGACUUCAAUUUUGUUCAAGCACCUGGAUGCCAUCAACAACCAUACUCAACUUUACAAUGUCACAAAAGAACUUCAGCCCGUCUUUUCCAACAAACCGCAUUACAACUCACUGUAUGCUACUGCAGACAUUCGAGAGGCAAACCAAAAAUUCCAAAAAGAAAAGCAGAAAGCUUAUUCGGCUGAUUUCAUUCUGAUACUCAAUCUAACUUCUUGGCAGAAGCAGAUAUUCCGGAAGGAAUUCAAUAAGUUUACAAGGAAGUUCAAGCAAAGUUCAGUUGGCAGUGCUGUUUGUAUGCGUUUGACGAGGUGGUAGUGUUUCUGAAAGAACCUCAUCUUAAACUGGAACAGAUUCAGUUAAAUGUGACUUCAGCUUAUCAGAAGGCUGUGUGCGCAUCAGUGUUUUGCUGAAUUGCAGAGUAUUAUUCCUUCAUGGUCAAAGCUUAUGCUCAGUGGCUCAGCCAGCCCCUCCAAUUAUUUGAAUUUGCUAUUAGUUGUCUAUAUCUGUAUGAAUAUUAAGUGGUAGCUUGCCAACCUCUUACAUUCACACUGUACUUCUUUCAAACAUGUAUUUACACUUUCUUUUCUACUCUUUCAUUUUCAGUUAAGUUUCA